rnacentral:rRNA from 1 species
UCGCAUGCCCGAAAGGGUGACGAAGCGACGCCGCGUGGGUGAGGAAGGCCUUCGGGUUGUAAAGCCCUGUCAGGAGUUAAGAAAUGUAGACUCGCUAAUAUCGGGUCUAUUUGACAAAGGCUCCAAAGGAAGCCACGGCUAACUCUGUGCCAGCAGCCGCGGUAAUACAGAGGUGGCAAGCGUUGUUCGGAAUUAUUGGGCGUAAAGAGCACGUAGGUGGAUUUGUAAGUCAGACGUGAAAGCCUUCUGUUCAACGGAAGAAUUGCAUCUGAAACUACAAACCUUGAGUGUAGGAGGGGAGAAUGGAACUUCUGGUGGAGCGGUGAAAUGCGUAGAUAUCAGAAGGAACGCCGGCGGCGAAAGCGAUUCUCUGGCCUAUUACUGACACUGAGUGUGCGAAAGUUAGGGGAGCAAACGGGAUUAGAUACCCCGGUAGUCCUAGCCGUAAACGAUGGGCACUAAGUAGAGGGGU